AGUGAAUAGAUACCCCGGUAGUCCCAGCCGUAAACGAUGUGCAUUAGGUGUAUCGGUGACCACGAGUCACCGAGGUGCCGAAAGAGAAAUCGUGAAAUGCACCGCCUGGGAAGUACGGUCGCAAGGCUGAAACUUAAAGGAAUUGGCGGGGGAGCACCACAACAGGUGGAGCCUGCGGUUUAAUCGGACUCAACGCCGGGAAACUCACCAGAUAAGACAGCUGAAUGAUAGUCGGGCUGAAGACUCUACUUGACUAGCUGAGAGGAGGUGCAUGGCCGUCGUCAGUUCGUACUGUGAAGCAUCCUGUUAAGUCAGGCAACGAGCGAGACCCACGCCAACAGUUGCUAGCUCGUCCUCCGGGAUGGAGAGGACACUGUUGGGACCGCCUCUGCUAAAGAGGAGGAAGGAAUGGGCAACGGUAGGUCAGCGUGCCCCGAAUUAUCUGGGCUACACGCGGGCUACAAUGGGUGGGACAAUGGUAUCGACACCGAAAGGUGAAGGCAAUCUCCUAAACCCAUCCUUAGUUCGGAUUGU
rnacentral:rRNA from 1 species